AGGCGGAGGCUCCGAACAGGGAGGAGAAUGUCCCAGAGGGAGGCUACUGCUUUUCAUUCCAAGAUAUGGAUAGCACCAGAAGGCCUUGACCUGCAGCACAGCAGUUCUCUGAAGCUGGUGGGAAGCUGAAGAAGCUGAGAGCUGAUUUCUUGCAGACAGGAGAAGUUCUUCUUUGAAUGUCUACCAAAACAUUCUUUAAAGAAGAAAGCCAUAAUUCUUGCCAGCACUCCCUCACAAAACCACUUAUAACUUGCAGACAUCGGUCUGGGGCAGCUGGGAUAAAAAUUUAAUCCCACAACUAAAUAAUAGGAAACUGUUAAAAUAUUUACAGUAAAAUCUGCCAACUUCCCAGGACAAAUCUCUUCAUAAAACACAUUUACCCAAGAACACAUCAUGCUCUGGGGAAAUAAAAUACACAUUGCCGCUUUGGUAUUGUCUUUCUAAAGUCCUUAUAUUAAAAAAUACAAAAAACAAUAA
rnacentral:lncRNA from 10 species